rnacentral:rRNA from 1 species
GAUGAACGCUGGCGGCGUGCCUAACACAUGCAAGUCGAACGGAGUCCAGCCUUUAAGACCUUCGGGUCAAAGAGGGGAAGACUGAGUGGCGGACGGGUGAGUAACACGUGGGCAACCUGGCUCAUAGAGGGGGAUAACAGAGAGAAAUUUCUGCUAAUACCGCAUAAGCACACACUGCCGCAUGGCAGAGGGUGAAAAGAGAAUCGCUAUGAGAUGGACCCGCGCCUGAUUAGCCAGUUGGCAGGGUAAGAGCCUACCAAAGCGACGAUCAGUAGCCGAUCUGAGAGGAUGAACGGCCACAUUGGGACUGAGACACGGCCCAAACUCCUACGGGAGGCAGCAGUGGGGGAUAUUGCACAAUGGGGGGAACCCUGAUGCAGCGACGCCGCGUGAGUGAAGAAGUAUUUCGGUAUGUAAAGCUCUAUCAGCAGGGAAGAUAAUGACAGUACCUGAAGAAGAAGCCCCGGCUAACUACGUG